rnacentral:rRNA from 1 species
GACGAACGCUGGCGGCGUGCCUAAUACAUGCCCGUCGACCUUAGUGGCGAACGGGUGCGUAACCCGUGGGUAACCUGCCCAUCAGAAGGGGAUAACACUUGGAAACAGGUUCUAAUACCGUAUACUGAUGGAUGGACCCGCGGUGCAUUAGCUAGUUGGUGAGGUAACGGCUCACCAUGGCCACGAUGCAUAGCCGACCGGGGAGGGUGGUCGGCCAAAUUGGGACGGAGACACGGCCCAAACGCCAACGGGAGGAAGCAGUAGGGAAUCUUAGGCAAUGGACGAAAGUCUGAACGAGCAACGCCGCGUGAGUGAAGAAGGUUUUCGGAUCGUAAAACUCUGUUGUUAGAGAAGCGGUAUCUAACCAGAAAGCCACGGCUAACUACGUGCCAGCAGCCGCGGUAAUAC